GCGAGCGGCGGCGGGCCGCGGGACUGCGCUUCUAGCGGCUGGGAGGGGCUCUGGCCGCGGAGCACCGGUGUCCACCCUACCUCGGGGUCGAGGGGCUAGUUCCCGGGCCACGCCGGCCACAGCACGGACCAGAAAGGAAGGAAAAACUGAGGCUCAGCGAAGUGACAUGGCUCACCCAUGAGUCUGGCCUCUGGAAAGGACAGACUUGGCAGAAGUGAGAUGGGAGAGUGCCAAGGACAGAGUCCUGGCAGAGCCACGUAAGUGCCUGGGCCACCGCAGAGGAUGAGAACCAGGACACAGCAGUGUCUUCCAAACAAAGAGAGCACCCAUUUCCUGCCUGGCCCACGUGGUCCAGCCCAGCAUCCCGGAGGUGACAGCCGCAAUGGAGGCGAGGCUGCCAGCCAGCAUGAUGGCUUUCAUGGAGAAAUCUUCGACUUGAAGAAAGUGAAGGUGUAUUUGGAGGUGAAGGCACCCUCUGGGGCAUCCUCUUACAGAUGUCUCUGCUGAUUGGUCAAUUUGACCCUCAGGGCCAAGAGGCCUUCUCUUCGUGGUCCAAAAACCAUCGUGGGGCCAGAAGCCAGCCUCAUGUGGGGAAGUGGGAGUCCAGGGCUGACAUGUCAUCACCCUUUCUUUUUGCUCCCUUUGUGAAGGGAAAUGAUCUUGA